AGAUGAAACAAGAGACUUCUAAUCUCAACACAGCAUUAUUAUGCUUCAUCUU
rnacentral:tRNA from 1 species